AGAGUUUGAUCCUGGCUCAGGACGAACGCUGGCGGCGUGCUUAACACAUGCAAGUCGAACGAGGGCCCAGAGCUUGCUCUGGAGACCCGAGUGGCGAACGGGUGAGUAACACGUGACCAACCUGUCCUAGGGUGAGGGACAACCCGGGGAAACCUGGGCUAAUACCGCAUGAUGUCUCGUCAUCGCAUGUUGAUGAGAUGAAAGGGGGCCUCUGCUUGCAUGCUCCUGCCCAAGGAGGGGGUCGCGACGUAUCAGCUUGUUGGUGGGGUAACGGCCCACCAAGGCUAUGACGCGUAGCGGAUCUGAGAGGAUGAUCCGUCACAUUGGGACUGAGAUACGGCCCAGACUCCUACGGGAGGCAGCAGUGGGGAAUAUUGCGCAAUGGGCGAAAGCCUGACGCAGCGACGCCGCGUGUGGGAGGAAGCCUUUUGGGGUGUAAAACUGCUUUUAUACAGGAAGAAACACUCCGACGUGUCGGAGCUUGACGGUACUGUAAGAAUAAGGAUCGGCUAACUCCGUGCCAGCAGCCGCGGUAAUACGGAGGGUGCAAGCGUUGCUCGGAAUCACUGGGCGUAAAGGGUACGCAGGCGGCAUUUUAAGUUGGAUGUGAAAUCCCGGGGCUCAACCCCGGAAUUGCGUUCAAAACUGGGAUGCUUGAGUAUGGUAGAGGAAAGUGGAAUUUCUGGUGUAGCGGUGGAAUGCGUAGAUAUCAGAAGGAACAUCAAUGGCGAAGGCAGCUUUCUGGACUAAUACUGACACUGAGGUACGAAAGCGUGGGUAGCAAACAGGAAUAGAUACCCUGGUAGUCCACGCCGUAAACGAUGAUAACUAGCCGUUGGGAGGACUUACCUUUUAGUGGCGAAGCUAACGCGUUAAGUUAUCCGCCUGGGGAGUACGGCCGCAAGGUUAAAACUCAAAGGAAUUGACGGGGGCCCGCACAAGCGGUGGAGCAUGUGGUUUAAUUCGACGCAACGCGAAGAACCUUACCAGGUCUUGACAUCCUGAGAAUCUUCUAGAGAUAGAAGAGUGCCUUCGGGAAUUCAGUGACAGGUGCUGCAUGGCUGUCGUCAGCUCGUGUCGUGAGAUGUUGGGUUAAGUCCCGUAACGAGCGCAACCCCUAUCCUUAUUUGCCAGCACAUUAUGGUGGGAACUCUAAGGAGACUGCCGGUGACAAACCGGAGGAAGGAGAGGACGACGUCAAGUCAUCAUGGCCCUUACGGCCUGGGCUACACACGUGCUACAAUGGAAAGUACAGAGGGCCGCAAUACCGCGAGGUGGAGCAAAUCCCAGAAAACUUUUCGUAGUCCGGAUUGGAGUCUGCAACUCGACUCCAUGAAGUCGGAAUCGCUAGUAAUCGCGAAUCAGCAUGUCGCGGUGAAUACGUUCCCGGGCCUUGUACACACCGCCCGUCAUACCAUGGGAGUGGGUUGCACCAGAAGUAGCUAGUUUAACCUUCGGGGGAACGGUUCCACUUUGUGGUUCAUGACUGGGAUGAAGUCGUAACAAGGUAGCC
rnacentral:rRNA from 1 species